AGCCCCUAUAAGUACGUAGCUUAUCACAUCACAUUUCCUGAAGCAAAAGAAGAUUCACUAAAAGUCACUCACCUCAUCAGAUCUGCACAGAAUUCAGUUACCAUGAAGCUGGGUGCCUUCCUUUUCGUCCUGCUGGUUUUCAUCAACCUCUGCACCGGCAUGCCGAGAAACAUGGCGAAGGAUGGAUAUCACAAAACGGAUUUGGGACUGAAGGUGAUGCGUAAUUUGAUGUCUGGAACAGAUGGAAGAACUGGACCUCCUAGCAAUGAUCACCAGUGCCCACUUGGAACCUACCCUAACUGCCAAGGAGUUUCUCAGAGCAAUCAACGAACAGAGCAAGAUGUUGGAGGAAAUUGAUCAAAUUUACUACACAGGUGAUGCAUGAACAUAUGUAUGAGAGGACUAUUAUUUGUAUUUUCUUGCAAUGUAGACGAGACUUGGAUCGAGCACGUAUGUAUAGUACGUGUAACAGUAAUAUAAAAUUAGUAUGUCAAAGCUCCAAAUGUUAUAAUUAUGUCGUUGCUUCCUUCUACAGUAGAAAUCAAUAAGAUGUACUGCAGUUCAUCAACACGAGUAAAUCUCUACUGUGUGGCUUGCCACCUUGUAAAAUAUCGUCCAUGUUCAUGUAUAUGUUAUGAAACUAUUAUCUCCUACCAGAGAUAAAUAUGAGCUCAUACCAAAUAUAUGGAAACGUAUCCUAAUAGGACUCUUCCUAUUAUGGGUAUAUAUACUGAGAUAGAGGGUUUGAGAGGUUGGUUGAUGUAUCCACAUAUGAGAAAGCAAUAAAGCUGUGAUGCCUCUCUCUA